UGGCUCAGUUGGUAGAGCAUGGUGUUUGCAACGCCCAGGUUGUGGGUUCGAUUCCCAC
rnacentral:tRNA from 1 species